rnacentral:rRNA from 1 species
GGGCCCGCACAAGCGGUGGAGCAUGUGGUUUAAUUCGAUGCAACGCGAAGAACCUUACCAGGGCUUGACAUACUACAAAUUCUUUAGAGAUGAAGAAGUGCCUUCGGGAAUGUAGAUACAGGUGGUGCAUGGCUGUCGUCAGCUCGUGUCGUGAGAUGUUGGGUUAAGUCCCGCAACGAGCGCAACCCUUAUUUUUAGUUACUAAUUCGUUAGGUUCUCUAGAAAGACUGCCGGUGACAAACCGGAGGAAGGUGAGGAUGACGUCAAGUCAGCAUGCCCCUUAUGUCCUGGGCUACACACGUGCUACAAUGGUUAAGACAAAGAGUCGCGAGCUCGCGAGAGUCAGCUAAUCUCAUAAACUUAGCCUAAGUUCAGAUUGCAGGCUGCAACUCGCCUGCAUGAAGUUGGAAUCGCUAGUAAUCG